rnacentral:rRNA from 1 species
UACGUAGGUGGCAAGCGAUACUCGGAAUCACUAGGCGUAAAGCGCAUGUAGGCGGCUUGAUAAGUCUUUUGUGAAAGCUCCUGGCUUAACUGGGAGAGGUCAAAGGAAACUGUCAGGCUAGAGUUUGGUAGGGGAUACUGGAAUUCCUGGUGUAGCGGUGAAAUGCGUAGAUAUCAGGAGGAAUACCUAUGGCGAAAGCAGGUAUCUGGGCCACAACUGACGCUGAGAUGCGAAAGCUAGGGGAGCAAACAGG